rnacentral:rRNA from 1 species
UACGUAGGGGCCUAGCGUUGUCCGGAAUUAUUGGGCGUAAAGGGCUCGUAGGCGGUUUGUCGCGUCGGGAGUGAAAUCCACUGGCUUAACUGGUGGCUUGCUUUCGAUACGGGCAGACUAGAGGUAUGCAGGGGAGAACGGAAUUCCUGGUGUAGCGGUGAAAUGCGCAGAUAUCAGGAGGAACACCGGUGGCGAAGGCGGUUCUCUGGGCAUUACCUGACGCUGAGGAGCGAAAGUGUGGGGAGCGAACAGG